CAUGGGCAAAACCACUGCGUAAGAAGGUCCCUUCAGCUUAUUAUUAGCUAAGCCCCUUGGGAUAUCUCAAGAAAGACCAGCCUCACACUGAAUUUUUGGUUGGGCUCCAAUGUAUAUACUGAGAAUUCCUAGAACAGGCAAGUUGACACAAGAGAACUCUUGCCCAGAAUGGUCUGUUUACUCAGUGGAUAUGAAUUACCCUGAAAUGCGUGGAGCAGGGGGUUGUUUAGCCAAUGGCUCUGGUCCCAUUUACACAGAGGAUGUCUGCUCCUAUACUGUUUAUUCUGGAAACCACAGCAGUGGCACAGCUUCGUAGCCAGGCCGACCUGGUUUGAUUCUGGCACUUUCGCACAGUGGUUUCACCUUGGACACAUGAGAUGUGCCGGACUCCAUCUCCUCAGAUGGAACUAGUGAGAUGUCCUCUGCAUGACUGAUGUGAGCUUUAGAGCAGCUCACUGUGAAAUACCUACUGUGGCGCUUGGCACGUACCAGACAUUCUAUAAAAAACAGCAAGAGCAGACAUAUUACUGGGGGCUUACGAUGCCUUGGACACCAUGUCUUGAGCUUUACAACAGAAUUUUAUUCUGCCAAGCUUGACUGCUGGCUGAACCAUGGCAUGGUGGGCCCUAGCAACCUCUGUUGAGGAAUUCCAAGGAUGGAAUCCAUGGCAGGGGCGGGGUGUGUGGGGGUGUGGUUUCAUAGCACCGUGUGCUGCCCUGCUCAUUUUUAAUUCAGCACUCCAACUUACGGCUGCAGUUGGUGAGCAAACAAAGCUGUGACCUGGCUCUUCCUAAGCACCAGGAAGAAAGGCCUACCAGAUAGUGUGGCUCCCUGUGUAGAAAACCACCAUAAGACCUGGACAUGAUACAGGGGGCAGUGAUGUGAAGACCCGGAGAGGAAGGCAUCCAGAACUCUCUAAGCCAAGUCUGGUCUUGACUCCAGAGAGCUGCAGACCUUUUCGGUGGAAGCUCUGCACGAACGUGCUGGGGCAGAUUCUGUCUGUGAACAUUUGUACCAUCAAACCCACUGCUUCCAGCCAUGCAGUGCCAGGAAAUCAGAGGCCCUGACCACUCCAAAAUGCUGACCAGCAAAAAGACCACACCUUAACCUAAGAGGUGAACAGUCCACUGGCCAGCUAGCCGGGAGCAUUAACUGUCACUUGGGACCAAAUGGCAAUGCUCCUGUAGUCAGGCAGCGUUUCUAUUCCUACCUUUUCUCUUUAUAAAAGCCCCUGAUUGUCUAGGACAGAGCCAGGUACUUAGACUCUUAUAAGACCACUCCUACCACACAGGCCUCCUGGCUUCCAGAAAGGAAACUCUAGUGCCCUGUGGCUCUGCUGCCCCAAAAUACCCUAUAUUGCCUUUGCCCCCUUCACUCUUCUGUUCUCCCAGAGGAAUUUCAGAGGCUGACGCUUUUCAUCAUGAAAUCACUGCCUACGCCAGUUCACCUUGCUGGAGGCUUUCCUACAUGGCUCUCAGCAUAAAGCUCUACGAACGAAGGCCGCCACACACCCUGGUGUCCCCAUGACACCGACAUGGGCUGGAAUUGCAUGGCAUCUCCCCACCUGACAAAUGCCAAACAGAAGGAUGGAUGGUGGGCAAUAAUUGGGACCAUGCUGCUUCCUGCAGAGACCAGCUAAUGAAACCAACACAGCAAUCAUUGAGGUUCCUGGAUGUCAAAACAAACCUGUCUCUCCCAACUCACUCCUCUGUGUUCCCUUCAGCGCCCCCUCUUCCAACCGUCCACCUGGGGAAAUACUACUUACCUGUGGGUCUCAGACCCAAGGCCACACCCCUACCAUACCUCCUGCAAGCGCCUAACAUUCUACUGCAGGUAGGAGCUUGGGUGACAUGCCCACUUUGGGACUAUAAGUUCUUCUAAGGCAGGCCCUGUAUCCUAUUUCUUUAUCUCCCUAAAGCUCUGCACAGUGCCUGGCAUCAAAAGGGGCUGCUGCUGGUCACUGCGUCAGUGCAUCCACCACCCCAUAAACAGGUAAAAAAAUUCUGUCCCCUCCAGAGAACCAUCUCCCUCUCCUGCCUCCUACGAAGGUCACAUACCUUGUGGAGCUUGUCAGCAUUGUCGUAGUAACCCUGAAGUUCCUGGUGAAGCACCCGGUUUUCCUCAGUGAGGAUCUCCACCAUCUGCUGGGCUCGCUCCACGAUGGCAAAGGCAUCAGGACCAAGCUGCUGGCUGGGUGAGGCGGCCGGUGGAGGCUGCGGAGCAGCCAGGGUCAUGGGAAGCGGCAGUGGCAAGGACACGGAGUGCAGUGGCCCGCUGACAGGGGGGUUCUGGGAAGACAUCGGGCUGUGCUGCUGUACUGUCGACGGGAACGGGAGCUGGCAGGGACGGCUGCAAGGGAAGCGGAGACUGGGCAUGAGACCCCGGGAAAGCAGUGGGAGGAGAAAGUCCCAAUGAGACAUGGACUAGCGACAGGCCCCUGCUUCCACGGGUCAUCAGUGCCCUGUACUGGCAGGUUCGGCCCCUCACCCACAGACAGAUAACGUGAUCGCCCUCUGGAUCAGCACCGUUUUGGUGGCCAGGCCCUGCUCUCACGAAGCUCAUGUUCUUGGGGACAGAAACAGGCAAGUCAUCAUGCAAAGCCAGGUCAUUGCAGAGUAAUGGGACAGGAGGGACUGAGUGGCUAGUUCAUACUGAGAGGUCGGGGAAGAGACGCAGGUGCCUGAGCUGAAGUCUGAAUGGCAGACUGGAUAGAAUUAGUGGCUGGGGAAAGGGGGCCAAGGGGAGGAAGAUAGCAUUCCAGGUAGGGGAAUUAGCAGGUGUAUGGGGCCUAAAUCAGGACUUAGCCAAGCACCAAGCACGAGAGAGAAAGAGAGAGAGUGAGUGAGAGAGAGAGCCGAUAUGAAGCAGCGUCAGCAAAAGUGGUACAAGGGAAGACCAGGGCAAUGGGCGAGGGCCUUUGUAAGCCAAGGUCAACCCUGUGCUUAGGGUGCAGCCUAUGGCCUGUGGGGGAGGUGGCCAAUGAGUGGUGUGGGGAUGGGACGCACAGUGGCUAGAAUGGACGAAGGGCGCCCCGCAGGGAGGCCAAGGUGUGGCCUAGGGGAGAACCCAGGGAGUCUCACGGGGCAGUAGCAGGAGGGAAAGCAGGGAGGAUUUCCGGAUACAUCUGGAUAUAUCACGGACAGGGAGAGAGGUGAGGAAAAUUUAAAAAUCACUCCUAGAUUUGGGACUUUACACCAAUGGACGGACGAGGGUUACCUUCCAAUGAAAUGGACAAGUCUUAGGGAAGAGACAAGUCUUUUGUUUUGAUUUGCCGGGCUGAGAGGUCUGGGGCUCUUAGCCAUAUUAUAAAGAAGGUUCAAAGCCCAGGCACUAGCUCCUCAAUCUGAAACCAUGAGCUGCCAUCUCUGGCUCUGUCCCAGUUGUCCCCUCAUCGCUAUUCUGUUACCUGUUCCAUAAGAAUCGUCGUAUUUUCUCUCGCCUAAGCCAAGGGCUCCCACCACCACCUCUGCAGGUGGAAGCAGCAAUGAUGAUCUAGGUGGCUAGUUCUUCAACUUCAGCUGCCUGUCUUCUGCAGACUCAGGAAAAUUCAUUUUUUAGUGACCUCCCUGACCUUUUAGGUCUCUCAGUCUGGGAACUGGACUGUGAAGAAUUAUCAGCAUCCCUAAACUACCCACGUUCUGCAUCACAGGGUGGAGUCCUCUGGAGAUCCAGCUCCUGCUUCCAAUUCUUGACACUAAUGUCUCCUCUCGUGAUUCGUGGCCAGCUGUAGCCAAAGCUCUCAGAGUCCCCCCACCCCACUUUCCCCAAGAGGCUGACCUGGCCUUCUAUUUUCCUUCUAAAUAGAUUUGCAGGAAUGUUUUUGGAUGCUGUCAGCCUCUAUAUUGCUCAUUUUGUAAGCAUCUCUUGUAGCCAGGAUUCCUCCUGGCAGCUAAAUGUUGCAUCGCACUCUAGAAGAAAAUUUGGCGAGGGUCACUUUAGCCCUCCCUAAGUGGAUAUGCAGACAUUCAUAAAGAUGACCUCAGAAGAAAUCCAGCAGAUCCUAACAACAUGACCUACCAAAGGCCUUGCUUUGGUAACAAAGACCAGAGCUCUCAACCUCACUCAGAAGGUAUUUCCCAACUAGAUUUCCUUAAGCCUCCAAUCAGGAAGCCCCUUCCAUUUCCUGUUGGAUCUAAGUUCCCCAAGGCAAGGUGGAGAACCACGGAGCUCAAUUUGAUCCUUGAAUCCUUAAGUGACCUCCAUCUUCCAGGCAUUUUCAGAUUUCAGGAAAGAAUGCUGUCAGUGGGGAGAUGUGAACCACCCCUCCUCCUUCCCGCUCUGUACUAUAUAUAA